rnacentral:tRNA from 1 species
GCAUUGGUGGUUUACUGGUAGAAUUCUCGCCUGUCACGCGGGAGACCCGAGUACCGAUUCCUAGCCAAUGCA